UUGUGCAUCGGGAUUCCGGUGAUGCUUUGGGUAAUCUCAGAGUUGAGGUUUUCCACUAGGGAAUCCGACGAGAUCGCGAGCUUCGUGAUUGAGGAUUUCUAUGCGACUUGUGGUAAUUUGUGAUGGACUAGUUGGAGCACCCCUGCAGGGUUAAAUCUAUUCGGAAAGCCGUGCCCGCGGUUAUGUGGCAACGUGGAAACUUUGUUUAACACUGGUUCUAGAUAACUUGAAGUUAACUUAAUUAAAAUAUGCCA
rnacentral:lncRNA from 1 species